UAUUCGAGAAAAAAAAAAACCCGAGGUAUUAAGAAAGGAACCGCCACCGGCUUCCAUCGUCCAAAUUGAAAAGCAAAAAUGAACUACAAGCACAGACUAAUCGGUGCCGCGAAAACUAUCUUGACCGGAGACUCGAACAACAUCGAUGUCAACUUAUCCGACAUUGCUAUCACGGCUACGCUUAAACCUCACCAAGUAGAAGGUGUCUCGUGGCUUAUUCGAAGAUACCAUCUCGGUGUAAACGUCAUCCUCGGUGAUGAGGUAUGUUCUGCACAUCAAGGAAUUAUUGAAAUGUGGAGUCAAGUGUAUACAUACAUAUUGUGUGUGUGUCUGUGUUUAUAUCAUAAAGUAGUAUUUUUUUUUUUUUAAUUUUCCUGAUAUGAUAUAGUACAUUUUGGUGUGCUGUAUUUACUUAUCGGAAAGUUAUGUCAAAUGGAAACUAAUUAGAGUGGUGAUAUAUUGGAUGAAGUGGAACAAAUUACUCCCUAUGUCCCGGCGGGUAGCCUGGACAGAGGGCUCGACACGCAUUGUGUGGUUCUUAUAAAAUAUAGUUCCGCAAAUUAUAUUACAUUUUUUUUAUUCUGAAUAAAAUUUUAAUAUUUAAAUUUUUUUUCAGAAACAAUUUUUUUUUAAAAUUAAGUUAUAGAGCUAUAUUUUAUAAAAACCUUAAAAUGAGUCCCAAGCAAUGAAAAAAACUCUAUAGAAAUGAGUGGGACGGAGGGAGUAGCUCUUAACAUUAGGCAAACUCUCACUAUUGGUCCGUAAUGAAUGCCUGAUGUGCUGAUGCUGGCUUUACGGUCGUGUAGUUGAGUAAUUCAGUUUUGCAUACUUUUUCUUCAAUACUGUAAAAAGCAGUGUUUUCUUCUUUUUAGGAAUAGCUGUGAAAUAUGUACCCAUCUGUAAGUGUCCCUUGAUAUAAGUUUUAUUAGUAAAUGAUGCAUAAUUGUUUUCGUCAUAUAUCUGUAGUGCCAAAUAUCCUGAAAAUGGGUUAGCUGACCUGCGAGAGAAAAUGUUAGAAUACAAUACACCACUCUAACAUGACAAGGGCUUGUUGCAGAUGGGUCUUGGUAAGACAUUGCAAGCUAUCUCCUUCCUGAGCUAUUUGAAAGUUUGCCAAAAAAUUCCUGGGCCAUUUUUAGUACUAUGUCCACUCAGUGUAACUGAAGGUUGGGUGUCAGAGACAGCAAAUUUUGCACCAAAAUUAAGACUCCUUAGUUAUGUUGGGGAUAAGGAUCAUCGACGUAGCCUACGAAGGAAUAUCUAUAAUAAUCAUGUAAAAGGGGAAGGUGAUGUAAAAUCACUUCCUUUUGAUGUCUUAUUGACUACAUAUGAUAUAGCGUUGAUGGAUCAAGAUUUUCUCUCGCAAUUUCCAUGGUAUUAUGCCGUCAUUGAUGAAGCACAAAGACUCAAGAAUCCGUCUAGUGUCUUGUAUAAUGUUCUCAGAGAUCAUUUUGUAAUGCCCAGACGGUUACUGAUGACUGGAACUCCUAUUCAGAACAACCUCACUGAACUUUGGGCAUUAAUGCAUUUUUGUAUGCCCUCAAUCUUUGGGACACGAGAACAAUUUCUUUCUACAUUUAAAGAAGAUGGAGAUUCUGCAUAUGGUCAGGAUGCAGAGAAAGUGAAAGAACAGUUUAAAGUAUUAAGAUACAUUCUGGGUGCAUUAAUGCUGCGAAGAACAAAAUAUAUGCUUAUGGAGUCUGGAUCUCUUGUGCUGCCACCUCUAACUGAGAUCACUUUGAUGGCACCACUGGCGGUCUUACAGAAGAAAGUCUAUAUAUCAAUAUUAAGGAAGGAGCUUCCCAGGCUUGUCACAAUUGCUUCUGGCACUUCUAGCCAUCAGUCCCUACAAAAUAUUGUAAUGCAACUAAGGAAAGCUUGUAGUCAUCCUUACCUUUUUCCUGGUAUAGAACCUGAACCAUAUGUAGAGGGUGAACACUUAGUUCAGGCCAGUGGUAAACUCUUAAUCUUGGACCAGCUCCUUCAAAAGCUACAUGACUCUGGACAUCGUGUUCUUCUGUUUGCCCAGAUGACCCAUACCCUUGACAUAUUGCAGGACUUUUUGGAGUUGAGGAAAUAUUCAUAUGAGCGUCUUGAUGGUUCAAUUCGUGCCGAGGAGCGAUUUGCUGCAAUUAGAAAAUUCAGUAAAGUAGCAGUUAAAAGAGAUCCGUGUUUUGAAGCCCAAGACGAUAAGAAUAAUGCAUUUGUUUUUAUGAUCUCUACAAGAGCUGGGGGAGUUGGCUUAAAUCUUGUUGCUGCUGACACUGUCAUUUUUUAUGAGCAAGACUGGAAUCCACAGGUCGAUAAGCAGGCUUUGCAGCGCGCUCACCGAAUUGGUCAAAUGAAUCAUGUUCUAUGCAUAAAUUUAGUUACUGCCCAAACCGUAGAAGAGGUUAUCAUGCGUAGAGCAGACAGGAAGUUGCAGCUGAGUCACAAUGUUGUGGGGGGAAAUGUUAUGGAUAGUGAGGGAAAAGAAAACAUGGGAGGUGAAGUUGGAGACUUGCGAGCUGUUAUAUUUGGACUUCAGAAAUUUGAUCUGACCGAAAUGAGCGGUGAAAAUUCUGAUCAGCCGAGUAAGAUGGAAAUGGAUGCCGCAGUUGAAAAGGUUCUUGCAUUUAGAGACGGACUGAAAUCAGAUAAUGAUGACAAGAAGCUAGAAAUUGAUCCACGGGGUAUUUCUGAACUCCAUGACAUCAUGCCAUCUUCUGUCACCUUUGAUUUAGGUCUGGAAGAAGCUUCAUAUUUGUCAUGGGUUCAAAAAUUUAAUAAUCAGUCCCAAGUUACUAACGAUCCUGUCAUGGAAUUGGAAAGUAGAAGAAGAUUACCUGAACAGAAGCAUCAUAAGGUUGAGGCUGCAAGGAAGAAAGCAGAGGAGAAAAAAUUGGCCAAAUGGGAAGCUCUUGGAUACAGUUCAUUAGCAGUUAAGGAUCAUAUCAGCCAUGUUGAUAUGGAUAUUACAUCAGAUUCUGGCAGUGUUAAUUUCGUUUAUGGGGAUUGUACACAACCAUCAAAAGUUUGUCCAUCAGAACCUACAAUUAUAUUCAGUUGUGUUGAUGACUCUGGCAACUGGGGCCGUGGAGGAUUAUUUAAUGCUCUGGCGAAGCUCUCUGAUAGUGUUCCUAAAGCAUAUGAGCGUGCAUCUGAAUUUGAUGAUCUUCAUCUUGGUGAUCUGCAUCUUCUAGAAAUUACAGAUGAUAUUAGUGAGAGUAAACACAAUUGUACACCUCAGUGGGUUGCUCAGUGGGUUGCUCUGGCUGUUGUGCAAUCAUAUAGUGCUAGGCGUAAAAUCCCUCGGAGUGAUAUAUCAAUGUCUGAUCUGGAGCAAUGCUUAUUGAAAGCUUCAUCAACUGCUGCUCAAAGAUCUGCCUCGAUCCACAUGCCCCGAAUAGGCUAUCAGGAUGCAUCAGAUCGAUCAGAAUGGUAUGCUGUGGAACGAAUGUUAAGGAAGCAUGCUGCACUGUAUGGUGUCAAGAUAUAUGUAUAUUAUUUCAAACACUCUGCUUAGGUUAAAGGUUGGUAUUAACCUGGAAUGAAGUGAUACUCUGGCAUGAUAAAGAGGAAGUGAUCAAGGACGUCAAAAUGACAUUGUCCCUUCGGUUUACCUGGUAGAUGUUGUGCCUUGGACCUGUAUUAUGUGUACGUAGGAACUUCAAAUUUUUGUUUUUGUGCCCAUCUAAAUCAAAGAAUGCAAAUACAUGGGAACAAAGAGAGGAAUUAGAUGUCUCAGGUAUUCUAGGAACCACAAACUCCUAUUCUUUUAGUGCCGGUCUAGGUUUGAACUUGUAAAUGUUGUUUACCAAAUAAAACCGAGGAAUCAGUCAAAUAGAUGUUUUCAUGUACCCAGGUACUCCAAAGCCUUUUCGAUGUUGAGCUAUCAUAUCAGUUAAUGUUUAUAUUUAUUUUUAUUUGUAUAAUAUCGUUGGUUACAGACAUCA